CGACGCGGGCAAGGCAGGCGCGCAUCCGCUGGAGCCGCACUACCGGCCCCCGGGCGGCGGCUACGAGCCCAAGAAAGAUGCCAGUGAGGGCUGCACCGUGGUUGGUGGGGGCAUCCAGUCCUACCUAUAGAAGGGCCAUGCACAGCAAUGCAAGUAGGUGUCACAAUUGCUUUGGAAAAAAAAAGUCAGCAGGCCAUUCUUUCUUCCCAACUUCAUAAAUACACAGACGUAAAAAGCCGCUCUCUCACCCGGACCGCAUCUUGUGCCACUGUAAAAGAAGGAGCCACAGAGCACUGUCAACCCAGACUAACUG